CACCCAACCUCUCGUGGGUGAGCCUCAUCCAAUCAGUUGAAGCCCUGACUAGGACAAAAGUCUGAGUAAGAGGAAACUCCUGCCUGACUAAUCGAGCUGUCACAUGGGUCUUUUCUAGCCUUUGGACUUGGACUGAAACACUGGCUCUUACUGAGUCUUAAGCCUGCGGAUUUUUGGACUGAAACUUAGACCAUUGGCUGUCCUGGUUCUUGGGCCUUUGGACUCAUGCUGGAACUAGAGAAGUGGUACCCAGUUUGAAUGUACCUGGUUUGUCAAGGUGUGGAAGUGAGAAGCCCUGAGUUGUAUCCUGUGCCUGGUUGAACAUUUGUGUGGACCCCUUGGGCUGUUUUUCAAUAAUAGGAUUUAUAGAGGUGGUGAUUUCUGUUGUGGUAAAGUAUUUUGUUUCACGAAAGUACAUUCUUUGAAUCAAUAUAAAGGCCCUUAAAUGGAGUCAUGACAUGUUUGUUCUGGGAAGCAUCUUUUAGGAGAGUACCUUUGUGUUAUAUAUGAGGAAGCUGAGACCCACAGAUGGGAAGUGAUGUUGGGUGCCUUAUGUAAGGCAGAGUUCUGAGAAGAAAAGUUUGGGACAUUGGUAGGGGUAGGGUUGGGGAGAGAUAUGAUUGUCCCUAAACACAUGGGUUCUCAAGUGCAUGCUAUGAAAUUCCACCUUAGUGCCUUGAGCUUCCCUGGUAGCUCAGAUCGUAAAGAAUCUGCCUGCAAUGCAGGAGACCUGGGUUCAGUCCCUGGGUCAGGAAGAUCCCCUGGAAAAGGGAAUGGCAACCCACUCCAGUACUCUUGCUAGAGAAUCUCAUGGACAGAGGAGCCAGGUGGGUCAUUCUAGGACAGGGUGUGUGAGCAGCAUGGACUCGAGUUAAUUGCGGCUCCAUCUUUAGCUAAUCCUAUCAAUGCUAGGGUUGGCUUCAAACAUUUUAAAACAAAUUACAUGGAAGACUCCUAAACUCCAAAAAUUAGGAAGCUCCCUGAGCUCUUUGCUUUUCCAUUCUUGGAUCUAUUGUGACUACAGUGAUCCAGAACCUUCCCUGUGAAUGGGAAGGCUCAACUAGAUGAGCUCUAAGGUUCCUUUUGACCCUCUAUCAAAUCUCUUGGACUGUGUGCAUUUUUAGAUAGUGUCACUCAAAUCUGAGGGCAAUAAUAGAGCACAAAAUUGGGUUCUGAAGAUUCCUCUUUGUGCAUAUGACAGGGAGGGGAGAGGUAUUCUUAUAUAUUCUUACAUAAUUUGCACCUUGAGAUCCAGAGGCUGGGAGCCCCAGAAUUCUGGGACAAAUAUAGCCAUACUAUGUUCACCAGGUCUGUUCAACAUGGGUCAUAGGUGAAAGACAGCACAGCCUGGGAGUUGCUUGAUCUGGGGGACAGAGAUAUGUAUAAACCAAGAAAUCUGCAUGUUGACGGCUUAUCAAGGCUUUAGUUCAUGUGGAUUAAAUGUGUUUUCAUGAAGUAGGAAACAAUGUAUGAAACCAUUCUUGUUCUUCACUCUUUAAAACACAUGAGAGUAUUGGAAAGGUUCAAAUGUAGGAGCUAGCAUGACGCUUCAUGGAUCUUUAUGCAUUCUGUUUACCUUGUCACUUCUGUAUAUCCUCCACUUUGUCUUCUUCACCAUCUCCACCUAAAGAAGUCCAAAACACUAAGUGAAAAGUGGGCAAACAUUAACAGUAGCUCAUUGUCCUAAAUGGAGAAGGCGAUGGCACCCCACUCCAGUACUCUUGCCUGGAGAAUCCCAUGGACAGAGGAGCCUGGUGGGCUGCAGUCCAUGGGGUCGCUAAGAGUCGGACACGACUGAGUGACUUCAUGUUCACUUUUUAGUUUCAUGCAUUGGAGAAGGAAAUGGCAACCCACCCCAGUGUUCUUGCCUGGAGAAUCCCAGGGACUGGGGAGCCUGGUGGGCUGCUGUCUAUGGGGUCGCACAGAGUCAGACACGACUGACUUAGUGACUUAGUGACUUAGCAGCAGCAGCAGCAUUGUCCUAAAUGCCUGCAUGUACUUAACUUUAUAUGGUAAGUGCUAGUAUUAGCCAUGUUUUAGAUGAAGACACUGAAGCACACAAAGAGAGACAAGUAACUUGCCUAAGGUCACAUAGCUAGAAAGAGAUUCAAUAUGGAUUCAAACUCAGGUAAUCAGUCGAGAGCCUACUUUUAACCACACAUUUUACCAUCUCUCUGUUGACACUGUCAGGGACAUCACAGAAGAAAUGACUUCAAGUGUUUGGUGAAUGUAUUAAGUUUUCAUCAUUACUUUUGAUAAAAAAAUUUAAAUUAAAAAAAUGAAAUUAGGUAAUAUCCAUCGAAUUGGCAAAUACUUUAUGUAGUAGCCAGUAUUGGAUUGGAAAUGAGAACAUGAAAUUUGCCCCUCUGGGGAGACUGCCAGUUUGUACAAUUCUUCUGAAAGAAAAUUUGGCAGUAUAUAAUAAAUCCUUAAGAUACUGCAUUCCCUCAAACCCAGAAAUUUCACUUCUAUGAAUUUAUGCUAAGGAAAAUUUGGGGCAGGUUCACAAAAGGAAUAUAAAAUUUACACUACAGUAUUGUUCAAAAUAAAAAAGUUUGGAAGCAAUAUAAGUAAUUGAAACAGAGGAUCAGCUAAAUAAAUUAUGGUGCAACACUAAUAAAGACAAAUAUGCACAUAUUCAGAGUGUAAUAGAAACAUGUUUAUUGACCUGGAAAGACAUUAAAAAUAUUCUUCUUUUUAAAAGGAAAUACUUUUACCUUAAAACAUGCAAGUUUAUAUGGAUAGUAGAAUUAAGGCAAUUAUGUUUCUUUGUACUUUUUGGCCGUUUCAAAAUUUUCUACAAUGUAUUACUUAUGGGAUAUUUAUAGAAAGAAAAAAGUACUAGAACUUCCUUGCCUUAGCCGCUGGAAAACUUUUUGCAGAUGUGCAAAACAGUGACUGUAACCAGAGAAGGUUCAAAGUGAAAUUAAUAGCUAACAUUUAUUGAGCACUCAUUAUGUGCUAGGCCUUCUAAUAAAUGCUUUGAAUUAUUUCUUUUAAUCCUUGCAACUCUUAUGAUAUAAGCACUCCAGUAGUCCUUUUUAGCAGCUGAAGCAUGGAGAGAUUAUAACUUGCCCGGAUUCACUGAGGAGGAAGCUUCUAAGGGGAUGUGAAUAAUUUGUAGGAUUCAGAAAUAAACGAAUAAAGUUCAGCCUUGGGUGUUAAGGCACCAUCUUCCAGGAAAGGAACAUUAGCUAGUUGACCCAACAAAGAACAUAAAUUAACCUAGUUAAAGCGAAAACCAUCUAUUAUAGGAGAUUGAGCCCUGAGAGAACCCAGAAUGGGUAGAUAACUAUACUAUGUAACUUCUGAUGGGGCAGUUAACUUUUCUGCCAGAUAGGAAGUGCUUUACCGGUAGACUUUUUUUUGGGGUGGGGGGGGGGGUGGUGCCAUGCAAAGGGUAUCUGAUCUGAGAAGCAGCUUGGGAAUAAAACAGUUGAAUUCAUUUUGAUAACUUGGGGAUUUUGCUUGGCUUGCCACCCAGUCCCUCACUUCCCAACACUUCUCUCGAUAAACAUUGAUCUGCUCAUCUACUUCCUCAAGAGUCUCCUUUGAUCUUCCCCACCCUUUUGUAGUUAGGAAAUAGAGACACAGAUGUCCUCAAUGCUCUAGCAUCUCUAGAACUUCAACAAUAGGGCUCUACAGGUGGUAGCACUGUUGGAGAGAGGUGUCUGAGGCUUUUCUUCAAAUUGUGUUUGCAUAGCACUUAGUAUCCGAAUGAAAAGACAUCUGUUGUGCAAAUCAAAGAAUCAGUGAUAAGUGACUCAGUCCCAAGAACAAGCCAUGCAAUUUCUUUGCAAACCUUGCAAAGAAAAUGUGCCUGGUGCUCUAAUACUUGGGUCUCUGUUGAAGCUCAGGGUUCCUUUAGACACAGGGAAGCUGCUUACUAUUGCUUUCGGUGACCCUAAUAUUCUCCCUAAAUAGUGGGAACCAGGAUCUUGAAAGGACAAAACACUUUCAUGAUUGUCAUGCUUUCGUCCAUGACAUUUAUGUUCCUGGAAUGCCUCUACUUGUCUUUCCGUUCCUCAUCCUUCAUUGAAACUCAACUCAAAGGUCCCUCUUCUAUAAAGAAUGCCCUGGUGCUAGCAACUGAGAAUUAGCUCAAUAUUCCUGGAACUCCAUAGACAGUGUGUACUGUCUGUGAAUUUUUGAAUAAGUUUUAUAAUUGUAUUGCUCUUCCCUUGAGGGACAGGAACUCCACUAAAUAACAGCAAUGGUAAACCAACAGCCAGACUAGAGUGGUGCCAGCCUAUUUAUUAUAUUAUAUUUUUAGAUUUUUUUUGAUGUGGACCAUUUUUUAAAGUCUUUAUUUAACUUCUUACAUUAUUGCUUCUAUUUCAUUUUUUUGGCUGCAAGACAUGUGGGAUCUUAACUCCUCCACCAGGGAUUGAACUCCCUGCAAUGGAAGGUGAAGUCUUAACCGCUGGACUGCCAGGGAAGUCCCCCAGUCUAUUUAUUUUAAUAGAGAGAAAUCUAGUGUUUUAAAGUUAGACAGCAUCUACCACACUUUAGUGUACAAGGUUUCAAGUGUUUUAAGAAGUCCAGUGUAUUGGGAACCUAUUUUGUGGAAGGGUUUAGUUGAUUUCAAGCUCAAGAUUGAAAUAUAGGAGGUACCAGUUGAAGGCUUGUUUCCACCAGCACUGAGACAUACUCUCAGUUCCUUCAUUUAUCAAUGGGACAGAUGACACAGAGUCACUCAUACCUGAUAGAACUAUUGUGAGAACAAAAUAAAAUCACAGAUAUGAGAAAGCCUUUAUCCAAGGCAUUAUUGUAAACUACAAACCUAAUCCUAUGUCAUAGAGGAGAUUGCAGUUAUGAGGGUGGGUGGUCAAUACCUAGAAUUCACGGAUGAUCAAGGAGACCAACUAUCUGGAAAUGACAUCCACUAAGGAAAAUCCUGAGUGGCCAAAGACGUUACAGGAGAUGCUCGUAUCCAAUCAAAGGAGAAUAUUAAUAUGGUAUUACUCUGGCGAGGUUUCCUACUUAUUGACUAAACUGAUCCACAAAAUAGAGGUUUUCUUCAGGAAGAAAAAAGGGUUAAAUAAAUUUGAGAGAGACAAAAUCAGAUAGGUUUUUUUUUUUUUUUAACCCGCAGCUUUUAGAAUGCUGACGUGACUCUUUGAGAGAAUGAUAGAGAGUUCUUUCUUCUCAAGGGCAAUUGCCUGGCCAGAAUGGAGACUCAAUUCCCUGUCUUAGGAUCUGAUGGAAGGAAGAAUGUGUUCGUGAUCUGCCUGAAGUUUCUGAGAUAAGAAUCCAAAGAAGACUCUGAUGUUUAUCCAGCAUUACAAAGGAGGAGACGUUGAUUUUGGCAGUUAUAGGAACAUCGGUCCUUGGAAAGCUGGAUUCUGUUAUGAGGGAAAGGGUUACUCAGGCCUGCCUGGGUUGGGGAGAACUCUUUCCUCCAGAUGACUGCUACCUUGGCCCCAGUUCCACACUUAUGCACCAGCCUUCUGAUUUCUCACUCAGCUUCCAGGCACUCUGUUCAUGGUGAGAAGUCUGGAUAACAGGCAGCAACAUCCUGUGGCCAGGAGAAAAAAGACUGUGAAUUUAAAACUAUUGCAUCAGGGUUCAAUUUUUCUUCUGAAUGAUUAAUUGCACAGUACAUUUAAAUUCACUUUAAUUGCAAAUAGAAGAAAUAUCGACUAAGAGGACCUUCCUACUCACCUAUCCCCAUGCCACUCACUGCACUGUCGUAGACAUACCCCACACAAAAGAACAAGAUGACUGCUCCAUAAUGUCCCAUGACUCUGUAACCAUUUCUCUAUUUCUGAACAUUUAUGCAGUUUACAGUUUUCCUUUAGGUGUUGCAAUGAACUGAACAUAUAUUUGUGCAUUUUCUGUGAGAUAGAUAAUGCAGAAGUGGAAUACCAUAACAAAGUAAAUGCUUUUACAAUAUGGCUAUAUGCUGUUAAACUGGCCCAGAAAAGAUAACACCAAUGGACACUUCCAACAGGAGCAUAAGAGCAACUUGUGAGUUGCUUGAAACAGAUUAUGUCUGGAGCAAUGACAAAAUUGGUUCUCUGGAUUGCAAAGUCUCUAGAGCUUGGUGAUGACAAUUGCCUCUCCUGUGUAGUCUUGUCUAGAGGUCAGCUUGUUAUUAUUGUUUAGUCACUGAGUCAUGUCUGACUCUUUUGCGACCCCAUGGACUGUAGCCUACCAGGCUCCUCUGUCCAUGGGAUUCUCCAGGCAAGAAUACUGGAGUGCAUUGUCAUUUCCUUCUCCAGGGGAUCUUCCUGAGCUAGGGAUGGAACCUACUACGUCUCCUGCAUUGCUGGUGGAUUCUUUACCUUUGAGCCAUUAGGGAAUCCCAGAUAUAUGUAUAUGUGUAACUAAAUCACAUUGCUGCAUAGCUGAAACUAACACAGCAUUGUAAAUCAACUAUAUUUCAAUAUAAAAUUUAAAAAGUUUUUUCAGUUGAAAUUGGAGAAUGCAAGUUAUAUCUGCUCUGCAAGUGGGUUUCCCCAUCCUUACCUCUGGCAUCAAUGAAACAAUACCCAUCUUAGGCUGCACUGGGUCACUGCAAAUCUCCCCUAAGGCCAAGGCUUUCACUGAUACAUUCAUUAACUGGUCUAGAAAAGUCAGGAAUAUAUUCUGUCUCAGUGAGUGUGCUUGGCAAUGCCUGGCCACUAUUUCUUUCAAAGCUCACCUAUUAGGUUAUGUCUCUUUCCUUCCCUGGGGAAGAAAAAGUGAGGAAAUAGCGUGAAGCCAAAGUGUUACAGGAAAGAUGCUCCCUCCAUAAGAAAGAAGCAUGAGGGACAGGAGAAAUUCUUGCUGUUUUUGGCCUUCCUUCUCCAGCCCCAUUCUAACAGGAGAGUUACAUGAUUGAUUAGUAAUGCCUGCCAUAGUCUGGAUGGAGGAAGUCAGGGCAUAUUUGGCAUGUAUUUCUAAUCCUGCAGUAAUUAUGCAAUGAGUAAUAUGUGGUUAGUACAAAAGUUAGAUGCAAUUGUAUCUUCUAAAUUAAGAAAGAUUUCAUUACAGACCAACUCCCCAUACAGACUUUCUGUCUCUGUUCUCUGCAUGUUCUGAGUCUCUGUGCCAUGGCAGCGUGGAGAGAUAGUCUGCUGUCAGUAAUUUGCAACCGUCUAGGUCUUGAUACCUCUUGGUGCUAUUCCCAACACAGAGCUGAUAUUUUUCUUGUUAAGGGUUCAUAAUUCAGGACUCACAUAUCCAAAUGCCCAGCUUCUGCAUUGGCUAACAGAGACAGAAAAGGAAAAAAAAAAAAUCAGUGUUUGCCAAGUACCCAAGGAUUAAAUUGGUAGUGGAAAAAAUUAGAUUUUCAGGCUAUUUAGAAUUUAUUACAAACAAUGGAGCAUUUAAAUAAAACGAAGCUGAUGUUGUGUUUCUAAACGCCUUUUCUACUUUGUACUGUAGUUGAUGUUCUUUUUUAGAAAAGGAAUUUUUAUUUCCUUAUUAUUUGUAUGAAGAUACUUUCCAUUUGCUUUACUGAGCAAAGGAGAAAAUUUAUCUUUGAGUUGAGUGAUUUUGGGGCUCAAGGAAGAAGCCAGAUAUCUUGGUGACCCAUUAAGCAGGAAUUUAAGAUGCAUGGGCUUUCUAAUAGAAAAAUAAUAGAUGCUGUGGGGGCUGAAGUUGGGGAGUAGGAUGGAGGUAUACUAAAGAGGAAGUGGGGAAAAACACUGAGAGGAAAAGAGAGGAUUUCUGGCCCCUCUACGUAUUCAGCCAACAAGAUUGCCACUCCCUGGAGAAGGAUUUUAAUUGCCAUGUAAAUGGCUCAGUGGUAAAGAAUCUGCCUGCCAAUGCAGGAGACCCCAGAGACACUGGUUCAAUCCCUGGGUCAGAAAGAUCCCCUGGAGAAGGGCAUGGCAACCCACUCCAGUAUUAUUGCCUGGAAAAUUCCAUGGACAGGGGAGCCUGGCAGGCUUACAGUCCAUGGGGUCACAAAGAGUGGGAAACAACUGAGCAACUGAGCGCACACAAGAGACAGAGCCAGCCCCUCUCAAGGGUCGUGACCAUGGACUUCCUCCUGCAGACUAGUGUUCCUUCAACUUUAGACAUUUGCAUGCUUUGUUUUUGAUUUUUGUCUCAACUUUCCACCUGCACUGUUUCUCACCUGAUUGUAACUUAUUUAUUUAUAUUGACUCACUUUUAGAACUUUAUAUGAGUAGAAGAAAAAUUAGUGUAAACUUGCAGUGAACAGAAAAGUGAAAAGUGAAAGUCACUGAGUCAUGUCUGACUCUUUGCCAUCCAAUGGACUAUACAGUCCAUGGAAUUCUCCAGGCCAGAAUACUGGAGUGGGUAGCCUUUCCCUCUCCAGGGAAUCUUCCCAACCCAGGGGUUGAACCCAGGUCUUCCGCAUUGCAGGCACAUUCUUUACCAGCUGAGCCACAAGGGAAGCCCAAGAAUACAGAAGUGGGUAGCCUAUCCCUUCUCCAGUGGAUCUUCCUGACCCAGGAAUCAAACUGGGGUCUCCUGCAUUGCAGGCGAAUUCUUUACCAACUGAGCUAUCGGGGUGAUCAUAAAAAUAAGUAUAAAGUCAACAUCAACGUUUGCUCAGACGAGUCUGACUCUUUGUGACCCCAUGGACUAUAACCCACCAGGCUCCUCUGACCGUGGGAUUUCCCAGGCAAGAAUACUGGUGUGGGUUGUCAUUCCCUUCUCCAGAAAUAAGCACAAUGGGAACAAAAAUGUUGUUAAAAAGUUUUAAAAUAUAAAACUUAAUAAUGGAAAAUAAUUAUUGAUAAACCUGAGAGAGUUCUAAACCCAAAAUAAGUUCCUUGAUGAACUUAUUUACUAACAGUCAAUAAUGAAGGAAUAUUCAACUCUUUAGUGCUGACUUCCACCUAAAAUCAUGUAACUGUCCAUAGUUCGGGAAACACUUUUUGAGGAGGCCAAGAGGUAUGGUGGGAAAAGCUUGGUAUUUCUAAUUAGACCACACUGAGUUCCAGCUCUUACUGGUCUCUCACAGUAAAGCAUGAUUGUAAUAACUAUUUCACAGAGUUCCUGUGAUGUCAGAAUGUAACCAUAUUGAAAAGCAUUUACAGUGUUUUUAGGCAAUUUCAAUUUUAUUAUUUUCUACAAAUAUGAUAUUUGUAGAAUAGCUCAUUUUAGAGUAUUUUGUUCUGGGUGGGGAAAGACAUAACAAAAUACAGAAUCACAGAAUUUGAGAAAUGGAAAGGAUUACUCAGAAAAAAAUAAACAAAAUUUAUGGGCUGUAUUUAUUUUCCAUUCAAAAUAAAAAUAGCUUUAUUGAGUCCCACGGGAAAAAUGUACUGUCUUUCUUACACUAUCUACUUCAUUGACUAGAAGAAUGUCAAUGAGAAAAGUGUUAGAGUUUACAGACAUUCAGAGUUAAUAUCUGGGUAUUUGAGAAGCAGCCACACACAGGUAACAUUCUUUCUUUAUUCUUUUUUUUUUCUUCUUUUUUAAUGUCUUUGUAACCAAACAUGUGUUGAUAUUUUUAAAAAUUUAUUUUUAAUUGGAGGAUAAUUGCUUUACAAUAAUGUAUUGGUUUCUGCCAUCCAACAAUGUGAAUUAUCCAUAAACAGACAUAUAUCCCCUCCCCCUUGAGCUCCCUUGUCCUCCCACUUCUCUAGGUCAUCACAGAGCGCCAGGCUAAGCUCACCCAGGCAGCAUUCUAAUCCUUUAGCUUUACAUUCAAAUAAGGCUGGUGGCUUGCAUGGAACCUCUGGGUCUCAUGGCCGCUUGAUUAGUAGCCCUUUCCCCUCAUUACUGAUGAGGAAGCCGAGACUUAGAGCAUCAAGUGUCCUGCUGGUUUUAAAAAAUAAAUCAUUGUUAGUGACAAUACAACAUUUUAUCUAAUGUCAAUCCUCAUUAAAUGCCUGAUAGAGAUCUAAUACCAACUGACAGUAUUUUAUAUAAUUAUAGAAUAAUAGGAAGCUUAAUACAGAAGGCAUUUCAGAGUUCACCUAGUUCAGGGUUCAGCACUAAGGAAUGAAGUGGGUCUGGGGGCAUGGGGAGAACCAGC
ensembl:lncRNA